CGGUGUAUGAUGACAGGUGCUUUUCAGAACAAAGACAUUGGUGGAAGUGCGGGGACUGGGCUGGAGGGGCUCUGAAUCUUAAACUGGGCAAUGGAGACCCAAGGCACCCAGGAGGAGAUGCCUUAUGUCCUGGAAUGAUGGCCGUUAAAGCACACCUGUCAGGCACUCGCUAAGGGCAAGGCUCUGUACUGCUAUUAAGUCAAAUGUGACAGCUUUACCAUGUUGCAGCUGAGGCACAGAGAGGGUGAGCCCCUCAUGCAAGAUCACACAGCCCAGACCAUCCAUGGGCACAGUGCCGCCUCUUCGCCACGGGCCAUGCCUCCAGGAGAGCCCACGGAGCAAUCAGACACCAGCACAAAGCAUAUCUUACCGCCGGUGCCACCCUGGACCAUACAGAUCAUUGCCAGCAACUGUCUGGGACAUUUGCAGCUCACUUUACAGUUUGCAACCCAUCUUUGCCCAUAUCAUCUCCUGAGACCCUGUACACGCACUAGCCCUGCACGGCACCAACAGUUCUGCUUUUCAGACGUCAAGGGACCGACCCCAGCUCACGAGCUUAUAUCAAGAGCAAGAGUCAUAUCUGGGACUCACUCCUGGUCGGGCCAGCUGAUCCCACCUGGCUAGAGUGUGGCCCCUACGCACAGCUGCCACCGUUCCCUGAGCCUCUGCUAGGCCCCAGGCCCUUCUGCUGCCCCCUCCUCUUACUGGGUCGUCUGCCCCCCACCGUAUUGGCGUUCUGAGCCUUGCGUGGCAGAUGAGGCCGCUUGAAGCUCUGACUGCUGGAGUCACUUGCCCAAGGUCACCCAGAUGUUAGGUGGGGCUAUAAGCUUGACGGAGUCAGGCUGCAAAGCCUGCGCAUCUCCCUGCCACCCCCCACCCCACGCUGAGCAGGGGGCUGUGCAUCGAUUGAUGACGGAGCUGGCGCCUGUGUGGCUGCCCCCCAAUCCCAGCAGUUCUGCCCACCCUCUUCCUUCAUUCCGGAUGGCAGGUCCCAGGAAAAGCUCGUCUUAAAAGUGCAGAAGGCUUCCAGCGAAGCAGCCAGAUGACAUACCCGCUCUUCUCGGGAGCAGAACAGCCCUAGCGAGGAGGCACAAUGAGCCCUCAUUGUCCUCCAGCCUUUCAUCACGUCUGAUCCGCUUUCUCGGCAGACCUCCGCCGAAGCUAACUGGCAGAGAAAGACACAUAGCCUCCAUGGGGCCGCAGUCACGAGUGUCUUCCUGGACGUCUACACAGUCCAGCGGGGGGAGAAGGAGGAAGUCAGGACGGCUUCAUGGAAGAGGUGAUGUUUGAAUCAGGAGGAGACACUUGCCAAGAGGACAGGUGUCCUCGGAGCAAAGGGAACAGCAAGAAGUGAGGCAAGAGCCCAGCUGAGGGCCAGGACCACCACCUGGAGCUUCAAGAUCACAAAGGAGCCCACCUGGAGGAGGGCACUCGGGAGGGGUCGAGGCUGCCCGGUCCCAGCGGAGGCCUCGGGGACCCAGAUGUGCAGGCUCCAGGCAUGAAGCGCCUCCUGCCAAGCUGAUGGGAUUAGUUCGCAUGAUGACAGGCCCCCAAGGGCCCUGGCGGGAGGGCAGCAGGAGGAA